rnacentral:rRNA from 1 species
UACGGAGGGUGCAAGCGUUGCUCGGAAUUAUUGGGCGUAAAGGGUAGGUAGGUGGUCUCAUUUGUCUGGGGUGAAAGCCUUGAGCUUAACUCAAGAAGUGCCCCAGAAACGGUGAGACUAGAGUCUUGCAGAGGGGGGUGGAAUUCCGCGUGUAGCAGUGAAAUGCGUAGAGAUGCGGAGGAACACCGAUGGCGAAGGCAGCCCCCUGGGCCAACACUGACGCUCAUGCACGAAAGCGUGGGGAGCAAACAGG